rnacentral:rRNA from 1 species
AUUGAACGCUGGCGGCAGGCCUAACACAUGCAAGUCGAGCGGCAGCGGAAAGUAGCUUGCUACUUUGCCGGCGAGCGGCGGACGGGUGAGUAAUGUCUGGGAAACUGCCUGAUGGAGGGGGAUAACUACUGGAAACGGUGGCUAAUACCGCAUAACGUCGCAAGACCAAAGUGGGGGACCUUCGGGCCUCACGCCAUCGGAUGUGCCCAGGUGGGAUUAGCUAGUUGGUGAGGUAAUGGCUCACCAAGGCGACGAUCUCUAACUGGUUUGAGAGAAUGACCAGUCACACUGGAACUGAGACACGGUCCAGACUCCUACGGGAGGCAGCAGUGGGGAAUAUUGCACAAUGGGCGCAAGCCUGAUGCAGCCAUGCCGCAUGUGUGAAGAAGGCCUUCGGGUUGUAAAGCACUUUCAGCGGGGAGGAAGGGUCACUAGUUAAUACCUAGUGGCAUUGACGUUACUCGCAGAAGAAGCACCGGCUAACUCCGUGCCAGCAGCCGCGGUAAUACGGAGGGUGCAAGCGUUAAUCGGAAUUACUGGGCGUAAAGCGCACGCAGGCGGUUUGUUAAGUCAGAUGUGAAAUCCCCGAGCUCAACUUGGGAACUGCAUUUGAAACUGGCAAGCUAGAGUCUUGUAGAGGGGGGUAGAAUUCCNGGUGUAGCGGUGAAAUGC